UACGUAGGGUGCGAGCGUUGCCCGGAUUUAUUGGGCGUAAAGGGCGCGUAGGCGGCCACGCACGUCCGUUGUGAAAUCGCCCGGCUCAACUGGGCGGGGUCGGCGGAUACGGCGUGGCUGGAGCAAGCUAGGGGGCAAUGGAACUCCCGGUGUAGUGGUGGAAUGCGUAGAUAUCGGGAGGAACACCAGUGGCGAAGGCGGUUGCCUGGAGCUUUGCUGACGCUGAGGCGCGAAAGCGUGGGGAGCGAUCCGG
rnacentral:rRNA from 1 species